rnacentral:rRNA from 1 species
CCUACGGGGGGCUGCAGUGGGGAAUAUUGGGCAAUGGGCGAAAGCCUGACCCAGCAACGCCGCGUGAAGGAAGAAGGUUUUCGGGUUGUAAACUUCUUUUGACAGGGAAGAGCAGAAGACGGUACCUGUCGAAUAAGCCACGGCUAACUGCGUGCCAGCAGCCGCGGUAAUACGUAGGUGGCAGGCGUUGUCCGGAUUUACUGGGUGUAAAGGGCGUGUAGCCGGGCUGACAAGUCAGAUGUGAAAUCCGGGGGCUCAACCCCCGAACUGCAUUUGAAACUGUUGGUCUUGAGUAUCGGAGAAGCAGGCGGAAUUCGUGGUGUAGCGGUGAAAUGCAUAGAUAUUAGGAGGAACACCAGGGGCGAAGGCAGCCUGCUGGACGACGACUGACGGUGUAGCGCGAAAGCGUGGGGAGCAAACAGGAUUAGAUACCCUUGUAGUC